AAAAUCCAACACGGGUAAAGCUUAGCCGGCAACCUGGAACAAACCAUUAUGCUGCGUAAGGUAACGAGCGUAGUAAAGCUAAUGGAAUGGACAACAUAGGGUGCAACGAAAGUGAAGGUAUUGAGUCCCGUAAUUCACGCGUCAUGGGGGCUGACACUUUACAUUUGGUGGAAGGCAACAUGGGUAAUAACGCUAAGGCAAGAUAUUACUCACCUCAUCGGGAUCGAAGGCCG
rnacentral:ncRNA from 2 species